AAUGAACGCUGGCGGCAGGCCUAACACAUGCAAGUCGAACGGAUCCUUCGGGAUUAGUGGCGGACGGGUGAGUAACGCGUGGGAACAUACCCUUUGGUACGGAAUAGCCUCGGGAAACUGGGAGUAAUACCGUAUGUGGUCGAGAGACGAAAGAUUUAUCGCCAAAGGAUUGGCCCGCGUGUGGAUUAGGUAGUUGGUGGGGUAAUGGCCUACCAAGCCGACGAUCCAUAGCUGGUUUGAGAGGAUGAUCAGCCACACUGGGACUGAGACACGGCCGAGACUCCUCGGGGGGGCGGCAGGGGGGAUUCUUAACCAAUGGGGAAACCCGAUAUCAGGCCAUGCCGGGUGUUCGAUGAGGGCCUGAGGGUUGAAAAGAUCUUCCGGGUGGGAAGAUAAUGACUUCCCCACAAGAAGAACCCCGGGCUAACCCCGUGCCAGCAGCCGAAGAAA
rnacentral:rRNA from 1 species